UACGUAGGGUGCAAGCGUUAAUCGGAAUUGCUGGGCGUAAAGCGUGCGCAGGCGGUUGUGCAAGACCGAUGUGAAAUCCCCGGGCUUAACCUGGGAAUGGCAUUGGUGACUGUACGGCUAGAGUGUGUCAGGAGGGGGGUAGAAUUCCACGUGUAGCAGUGAAAUGCGUAGAGAUGUGGAGGAAUACCGAUGGCGAAGGCAGCCCCCUGGGAUAACACUGACGCUCAUGCACGAAAGCGUGGGGAGCAAACAGG
rnacentral:rRNA from 1 species